AGAAUUCAUACGUGAACGUCCACUUCAGGCCAAGCACUGGAAGGAGCUGAAGUCUAGGCUGCAGAUUUCAAUAAGCAAACUGCCAGACUCUGGGAAGGAACCUGCUCUGCUUUCUCGCUCAUCUCUCUGGAGCAAACUGAAGACAGGAGUUUGGCCUCAAGGAGACAGAAGCUUCAGGAGAUGGGAAGACACUUCUGAAAGAAAACCUACAGGAUCAGCGUUCCUGACUGCAGUUGUGGUAUGUACACAGCACAG